rnacentral:rRNA from 1 species
CAUCACUACGCUAGAUGCAUAUCAAUAAGCGGAGGAAAAGAAACUAACAAGGAUUCCCCUAGUAACGGCGAGUGAAGCGGGAAGAGCUCAAAUUUGAAAUCUUAAAGGGUUUCCCUUUACGAAUUGUAGUUUAAAGAAGUGUUUUCUGUUGGAGUUUCGGUAAAAGUUCUUUGGAAUAGGACAUCAUAGAGGGUGAGAAUCCCGUAUUUGACCGUUACUUUCCAGCUGUGUGAUACACUUUCAAAGAGUCGGAUUGUUUGGGAAUGCAGUCCAAGAUGGGUGGUAAAUUUCAUCUAAAGCUAAAUACUGGCGAGAGACCGAUAGCGAACAAGUACCGUGAGGGAAAGAUGAAAAGAACUUUGAAAAGAGAGUUAAACAGUACGUGAAAUUGUCAAAAGGGAAGCGUUUGACACCAGUGUUGUUUAGUUGAAAAUCAAUUCAAUAGUUUUUGAUUCUAAGUAGUAUUGACUUCAUCAGCUUGCUGCUUUCUUCUCAGAAAUUAUUGAAUGCACUUUUCAGUUAACAAGUCAACAUCAAUUUCUUUUGUUGUAAAAGGGUAAGAGGAAGGUGGCUUGACGCUUCGGCGUAAGUGUUUAUAGCCUUUUAUCCUCUGCAAUCGGAGAGAUUGAGGUACUGCAGCGUAGACUCUUCGGGGUUAGAUACACUUGUGCUAAGCUAUAGCCUUGUAUAGACAACUUGUUGACUAUGCUCGAUCAUGUAGCUUACUCGCUUAUGCUAUUUUACCUACGCUUAGGAUGUUGACGCGCGUGUGUGCGUG